CAGUAGCCGCGGGAAUACGUAGGUGGCAAGCGUUGUCCGGAAUUAUUGGGCGUAAAGCGCGCGCAGGCGGAUAGGUCAGUCUGUCUUAAAAGUUCGGGGCUUAACCCCGUGAUGGGAUGGAAACUGCCAAUCUAGAGUAUCGGAGAGGAAAGUGGAAUUCCUAGUGUAGCGGUGAAAUGCGUAGAUAUUAGGAAGAACACCAGUGGCGAAGGCGACUUUCUGGACGAAAACUGACGCUGAGGCGCGAAAGCCAGGGGAGCGAACGGGAUUAGAUACCCCUGUAGUCCCUGUCUCUUAUACA
rnacentral:rRNA from 1 species